AGUGAACGCUGGCGGUAGGCCUAACACAUGCAAGUCGAACGGCAGCACAGUAAGCUCUUGCUCUUACGGGUGGCGAGUGACGGACGGGUGAGGAAUACAUCGGAAUCUACCUUUUCGUGGGGGAUAACGUAGGGAAACUUCCGCUAAUACCGCAUACCACCUACGGGUGAAAGCAUGGGAUCUUCGGACCUUGCGCGAUUGAAUGCGGCGAUGUCGGAUUAGCUAGUUGUCGGGGUAAAGGCCCACCAAGGCGACGAUCCGUAGCUGGUCUGAGAGGAUGAUCAGCCACAUUGGAACUGAGACACGCUCCAGACUCCUACGGGAGGCAGCAGUGGGGAAUAUUGGACAAUGGGCGCAAGCCUGAUCCAGCCAUACCGCGUGGGGGAAGAAGGCCUUGGGGUGGUAAAGCCCUUUUGUUGGGAAAGAAAAGCAGCAUGUUAAUACCGCGCUGUGCUGACGGUACCCAAAGAAUAAGCACCGGCUAACUUCGUG
rnacentral:rRNA from 1 species